rnacentral:lncRNA from 1 species
UCUUCUCUCCAUUUCACAUUUUUCUUCAUCUUCCAUGGGAAGGAACUUUGAAACUUCCAUAUCUUUUUCAAGUUAAUUUCAAUUCUCAUGCUUAUGAGCACUUUUCCAUAGGGUUUUUCAUGCUCCUUCACUUCUACACCUCAAGAACCCUCAAAAGUCUUUCCUUAAUACUUUUUCUCACUAGUUGGAAGUUUAGAGAGAGAAAAAGAGGGAUUUUUCAUGAUUGCUUGAGUAUUCUUGAGAAAGAAUUCAACUACAAAUUUACCAAGGUGAGUAAUGAAUUAGGAUUGAUUUUAGGUUGUUGAUAAUGGCUAGUAAUUGGAGUUGUGAGUUGUUUUAUUGUUGAGGUUUGUUUAUUUAUUUCUAGUGAUACUAGAGUAGAGAGAAUAGAUAGCUAAUCAAAAAGCAAUUAGAAACUAGUUAGGAAUAACUAGCAGAACUUGAUUUAGGAGAGAGUUUUUGGAAUUAUAUUAAUGCCAAUUUGGGUUGCUGGUGAUAUUGUGUGUGUGUAGGUUCCAACAAGGCCUCACAUGUCCAUUUGGAGCAUUAGUUGAGGCUAGAGUCAAGCAAAAGAAUCAACAAGACCGGUGAGUGAACUUGCAUCAAAGUGUUUUUAGGAAAUACAUAUGUGUUGGGAUGAAGCAUUUAAAUGAUUUUACUUGGUUUCAUUAAAUUACACAUGGGAACAAGCCCUUGAUGAAAUGUUUUGAUGUUGUGAAAAUGUGAAAUAUGUAAAAAGAUAAAUCCAUGUGCUUCUAUAUUAUGUUGGUAUGUAUAUAUAUGAAUAUGUGUUGUGCAUUGAUGAAUAAUGUUGUGUGAUAAUGAUGACCCAGCUAUGUGCGAUGUGGGAGUGCACAUGAGCUGAUGAUGACCCGACUAUGUGCGAGUAGGGAGUACACAUAAGCCGAUGAUGACUCGGCUAUAUGCAAGUAGGGAGUGCGCAUAAGCCGAUGAUGAUGACCUGGCUAUGACGAUGAAUGAAGUGGGGUGGUGUACGUGUUUAUGUAUAUUUAUAUAUGUAUAUGUAAUAGAAAGUUUAUGAUUAUAAUAUGUGAUUGAAAUGAAUAAUGAGAAAUUUGAUUAUUGUCAAUGUGUUCACUUUGAUGUGCAAUAUGGUAGGAAUGGAUUUUGUGGCAUGUGAAAAUCCCUUAAUUUGUCAUCUGCCCUGAAUCUCGCUGCAGCGAGAAUGCAAGAAACUUUCAAGUGGUGGGGGCACAAACCAGUCCUGUUUCUCACUGCAGCUAAAAAGAAUUCUCGCUGCAGUGAAAAUGGAUUCUCGCUAUAGUGAGAAACUCUCGGGUGGUCCCAAAAUUCUGGUACAGUAUUUUCACUUUGACGAAGAUUUUGACCACCUUCCGUUCAGAACUGGGAAAAGUAGUAAACAUCAAAGUUGUAGCCCUUCCUCUUAGCUUUCUAAUGGUCUAAAAAUCAGAUCAAUUGGACUUUUGCAGUGGGAUAUAUGCUAGAAAAACUUAAACAUAUGCAAAUUGAGACCGUUUCUCACUACAACGAGAAACUUGCUGCCGUGCUUGCUACCUUGCUUGAUUUUGACCUAUUUUUCACCCAUUUAACUUCAUGGAUUGAUCAUGGGUUUUUGAAACACUAUGAGGUUAUCAAUCAAAGUUUGAAAUAAGAGGUUUUUAGUAAGAAAUUAAAUCAAUUGCAUUGUUUUUGAAACAAGUGCAUCAUGAUUUUCAAAUUCUUCCUAUUGAAUGCUUGUUCCCUUCUUAUGUUUACUCAUUGAGUUUUAUACUCACAUUUUUAAACUUCAUGUUUUUAGAUUUAGAGGCAGCUAGGACCUAGAUUGAGUUAUCCACGUAUGCUUGCUUUCUUGGUAGGUACUAUAACAUCUCAGUAGUUGUACCUUCACCCACGGUCACUCUGUUGACGGUCAAGGGUCUGUUACCUGUGAACAUGCAUAUGUAAUGAAAUCCGCUUGUAUCCAUGUUAUAAGUCAAAUAUGUAUAUUUGAUUACUGAUACCACUAGGAGUUGG